UGAAAUAUCUGCAACUAUCUGUUUUUCCAUGAAAUUUAUGUCCGAUUUACUUGCUAACACAUUACAUGCAGGUGAAUAUCACAAUUAAUGUCAACUUGCAGCUAGGAACUAGAUGAGUUAAAAACAUGAAAAAUGCUAAAUCAGAUGAGUCACUCCUUACGAUUUUUUUCUGACUUUAGAGAAGUAUUAUACAUUAAUCAUCGAGCAGUUCUAAUAUAAAAAGGUUUUCUGAAAUCUCGCCUCACACAUGUCACAACAGAUCCUGAGACACUUCCUCUUCUUAGUCUGUUACUGGUGUUGGUAGGCUUGGACAGCUGUCAGUUGAUGUGUCAACACAACAAACUGCAUGAAAAAAUGCAAAUCUUCAGCUUUACGAUGUUAUUGUUCUUCUGGAUUGAAACUGGUAACCAUCAGCUUGGCAACUGUUCCACUAUCGUAAACACGACUUCCAGCACCAAUGGAUGGAGAUGGACAUGGCAGGAAGGCUACAUAGCAAUCGCUGGUAUCGCUUUUGCAAGUGUCAUCAUUGUGGGCAUCAUAGUUGCUGUAACAGUGGUUUGCAUUAAAAGAAUAGGAGACGUCUAUGACAAAACGACACGAACAAAUUUUAAUGAACACCCCUACAUGAAUGGACCUGCCAGCCAAAAACCAACUGACAAUGGCCACUCAGUCCAGGUGAAUGAACUUCAAACAGCCUGCUUAGACAUAUGUUGCAACUGUUAUCCACGUAGUUAAGUUAUUCAUAUCAACAUUGCAGACAGAAAAGAACGGCCAAAGAUUAGACAACUAUGUAUCCCUUUUGAGUGCAUAUGUACUCCCCAUUUGUGUAUAUAUAAACAAUAUAAAUAAAUUUAUAUUUAUAUGAAUAAACGUUUCUUUAUAAAUUCACAUGAUUCAGGAAAAUAAACUUCGAGAUGCCCGUUGUUCCAGGUUAAUAUUGUUUAUGUAGAUUGAAAUCAUUAGUUUAAAGAAAAAGUAUUUUUGUGAUUGAGUAAAAUUUUCCUUGCGAAAUACCACGUGUACAUAACCAUUGUAUGAGUAAAAUAAGGUAUACACAAUCUUUAUAUAUAUAUAUACACAGUUUUGUUGUAUUGUUCCAUCAGACUCAUUUAUCUUCUGUAAUCUAUACAUGACAUAUUUAAAGGUUUCCAUGACAGAUGCUAUAUAUAACCACAAUUAUGUAUAUUGUGGCGAUUUCUGAGAAUCUUAUUUAUUAUCGAAAUAAAUUUGUUGGGAAUAAAAUUGUUUUAUG